CUUGACAUCCAGAGAAUUUAGCAGAGAUGCUUUAGUGCCUUCGGGAACUCUGAGACAGGUGCUGCAUGGCUGUCGUCAGCUCGUGUUGUGAAAUGUUGGGUUAAGUCCGCAACGAGCGCAACCCUUAUCCUUUGUUGCCAGCACGUAAUGGUGGGAACUCAAAGGAGACUGCCGGUGAUAAACCGGAGGAAGGUGGGGAUGACGUCAAGUCAUCAUGGCCCUUACGAGUAGGGCUACACACGUGCUACAAUGGCGUAUCAAAGAGAAGCGACCUCGCGAGAGCAAGCGGACCUCAUAAAGUGCGUCGUAGUCCGGAUUGGAGUCUGCAACUCGACUCCAUGAAGUCGGAAUCGCUAGUAAUCGUAAAUCAGAAUGUUACGGUGAAUACGUUCCCGGGCCUUGUACACACCGCCCGUCACACCAUGGGAGUGGGUUGCAAAAGAAGUAGAUAGCUUAACCUUCGGGAGGGCGUUUACCACUUUGUGAUUCAUGACCUGGGGUGAAGUCGUAACAAGGUAGGCGUAGUGCU
rnacentral:rRNA from 1 species